rnacentral:rRNA from 1 species
AACGGCCGCGGUAUUUUGACCGUGCAAAGGUAGCGCAAUCACUUGUCUUUUAAAUAGAGACCUGUAUGAAUGGCAUAACGAGGGCUUAACUGUCUCCUUUAUCCUAUCAAUGAAAUUGAUCUCCUCGUGCAGAAGCGAGGAUAAAAACAUAAGACGAGAAGACCCUAUGGAUCUUUAGACGCAAGAACAGAACAUGUCCAUUCUAUUAAUUAAUAAACAAAAUUAUUGAAACCUGUCCUAGUGUCUUUGGUUGGGGCGACCACGGAGUAAAACAAAACCUCCACGAGGAAUGAAGAAAUCUCUUCCUAUUUUAGGAUGACAAUCCUAUAAAUCAGAAUUUCUGACCACAUGAUCCGGCAAAGCCGAUCAACGAACCGAGUUACCCUAGGGAUAACAGCGCAAUCCUCUUUUAGAGCCCAUAUCGACAAGAGGGUUUACGACCUCGAUGUUGGAUCAGGACAUCCUAAU